rnacentral:rRNA from 1 species
GACGAACGCUGGCGGCAGGCUUAACACAUGCAAGUCGAGCGGGGGAAGGUAGCUUGCUACCGGACCUAGCGGCGGACGGGUGAGUAAUGCUUAGGAAUCUGCCUAUUAGUGGGGGACAACAUCUCGAAAGGGAUGCUAAUACCGCAUACGUCCUACGGGAGAAAGCAGGGGAUCUUCGGACCUUGCGCUAAUAGAUGAGCCUAAGUCGGAUUAGCUAGUUGGUGGGGUAAAGGCCUACCAAGGCGACGAUCUGUAGCGGGUCUGAGAGGAUGAUCCGCCACACUGGGACUGAGACACGGCCCAGACUCCUACGGGAGGCAGCAGUGGGGAAUAUUGGACAAUGGGGGGAACCCUGAUCCAGCCAUGCCGCGUGUGUGAAGAAGGCCUUAUGGUUGUAAAGCACUUUAAGCGAGGAGGAGGCUACUUUAGUUAAUACCUAGAGAUAGUGGACGUUACUCGCAGAAUAAGCACCGGCUAACUCUGUGCCAGCCGCCGCAGUAAGAC